rnacentral:tRNA from 1 species
GCAUUAAUGGGGUAGUGGUAACCUGGGUCGUUGCCAUGAUCGAACACUAGUUCGACCCGCCGGGGGUUCGAUUCCCCCUUAAUGCA